rnacentral:rRNA from 1 species
GUAAAGCAUUAAAUUAAAAAGAUUUGGCGGUAUUUUAUAAAUUUAGAGGAACCUGUUAAUUAAUUGAUAUUCCACAAUAAGAUAAACUUAAUUAUUUAUGUAUUGCUGUUUAAAGAUAAUUAUUAAUUAAAUUUUUAUUUUUUUAAUUUAAUUUAAUUCAAGUCAAAAUAUAGUUUAAUUAAGUAAUGGGUUACAAUUUAAUUUAGAAAAUGGAUUUAAUAGUAA